rnacentral:tRNA from 1 species
GGCGGCGUAGCUCAACUGGUUAGAGCAUGUGGCUCAUAUCCACAGGGUUGGGGGUUCGAGUCCCUCCGCCGCCACUA